rnacentral:rRNA from 1 species
CCUACGGGAGGCAGCAGUGGGGAAUUUCGGACAAUGGACGCAAGUCUGAUCCAGCCAUUCCGCGUGCAGGACGAAGGCCUUCGGGUUGUAAACUGCUUUUUGUACGGAACGAAAAAGCUCUUAUUAAUACUAGGAGUCCAUGACGGUACCGUAAGAAUAAGCACCGGCUAACUACGUGCCCGCAGCCGCGGUAAUACGUAGGGUGCAAGCGUUAAUCGGAAUUACUGGGCGUAAAGCGUGCGCAGGCGGUUAUAUAAGACAGAUGUGAAAUCCCCGAGCUUAACUUGGGAACUGCAUUUGUGACUGUAUAGCUAGAGUACGGCAGAGGGGGAUGGAAUUCCGCGUGUAGCAGUGAAAUGCGUAGAUAUGCGGAGGAACACCGAUGGCGAAGGCAAUCCCCUGGGCCUGUACUGACGCUCAUGCACGAAACGCGUGGGGAGCAAACAGGAUUAGAUACCCUGGUAGUCCACGCCCUAAACGAUGUCAACUGGUUGUUGGGUCUUCACUGACUCAGUAACGAAGCUAACGCGUGAAGUUGACCGCCUGGGGAGUACGGCCGCAGGUUGAACGUUAAAGGAAUUGACG